GACGAACGCUGGCGGCGUGCCUAAUACAUGCAAGUCGAACGAGAGCGCCCGGUGCUUGCCCUGGUCAAUCUAGUGGCGAACGGGUGAGUAACACGUGGGUAACCUGCCCAUCAGAGGGGGAUAACAUCCGGAAACGGAUGCUAAAACCGCAUAGGUCUUCGAACCGCAUGGUUUGAAGAGGAAAAGAGGCGCAAGCUUCUGCUGAUGGAUGGACCCGCGGUGCAUUAGCUAGUUGGUGAGGUAACGGCUCACCAAGGCCGUGAUGCAUAGCCGACCUGAGAGGGUGAUCGGCCACAUUGGGACUGAGACACGGCCCAAACUCCUACGGGAGGCAGCAGUAGGGAAUCUUCCGCAAUGGACGCAAGUCUGACGGAGCAACGCCGCGUGAGUGAAGAAGGUUUUCGGAUCGUAAAACUCCGUUGUUAGAGAAGAACAAGUGCUAGAGUAACUGUUAGCGCCUUGACGGUAUCUAACCAGAAAGCCACGGCUAACUACGUG
rnacentral:rRNA from 1 species